rnacentral:rRNA from 1 species
UACGUAGGGUGCGAGCGUUAAUCGGAAUUACUGGGCGUAAAGGGCUCGUAGGCGGCCAACUAAGUCCGACGUGAAAUCCCCAGGCUUAACCUGGGAACUGCGUCGGAUACUGGAUGGCUUGAAUUCGGGAGAGGGAUGCAGAAUUCCAGGUGUAGCGGUGAAAUGCGUAGAUAUCUGGAGGAAUACCGGUGGCGAAGGCGGCAUCCUGGACCAUAACUGACGCUGAGGCGCGAAAGCUAGGGGAGCAAACGGG